CUCCCUCACCCCCCCCUUCGGCGUCUGCGCCCUAACCACCGCAUCGGUCUUCUACAGAGAUGUCAUCGCCGCCUACCUCCUCGUCGGUAGUUUAUUUUCCACCCUCGUCUCUUCGGUCUUGAAGCGAUUGGUGCGGCAGCCGCGCCCUUCGAGGUAUGAUAGUGCCGAG
rnacentral:RNase_MRP_RNA from 1 species